rnacentral:rRNA from 1 species
AUUGAACGCUGGCGGCAUGCCUUACACAUGCAAGUCGAACGGCAGCACGGGAGCAAUCCUGGUGGCGAGUGGCGAACGGGUGAGUAAUACAUCGGAACGUGCCCAGUAGUGGGGGAUAGCCCGGCGAAAGCCGGAUUAAUACCGCAUGAGACCUGAGGGUGAGAGCGGGGGAUCGCAAGACCUUGCGCUAUUGGAGCGGCCGAUGUCAGAUUAGCUAGUUGGUAGGGUAAAGGCCUACCAAGGCAACGAUCUGUAGUUGGCCUGAGAGGACGACCAGCCACACUGGGACUGAGACACGGCCCAGACUCCUACGGGAGGCAGCAGUGGGGAAUUUUGGACAAUGGGCGCAAGCCUGAUCCAGCAAUGCCGCGUGCAGGAAGAAGGCCUUCGGGUUGUAAACUGCUUUUGUCAGGGAAGAAAUCUUCUGGGCUAAUACCCUGGGAGGAUGACGGUACCUGAAGAAUAAGCACCGGCUAACUACGUGCCAGCAGCCGCGGUAACAC